GUUAGCGGCGGACGGGUGAGUAACACGUGGGUAACCUGCCUGUAAGACUGGGAUAACUCCGGGAAACCGGGGCUAAUACCGGAUGCUUGUUUGAACCGCAUGGUUCAAACAUAAAAGGUGGCUUCGGCUACCACUUACAGAUGGACCCGCGGCGCAUUAGCUAGUUGGUGAGGUAAUGGCUCACCAAGGCGACGAUGCGUAGCCGACCUGAGAGGGUGAUCGGCCACACUGGGACUGAGACACGGCCCAGACUCCUACGGGAGGCAGCAGUAGGGAAUCUUCCGCAAUGGACGAAAGUCUGACGGAGCAACGCCGCGUGAGUGAUGAAGGUUUUCGGAUCGUAAAGCUCUGUUGUUAGGGAAGAACAAGUACCGUUCGAAUAGGGCGGUACCUUGACGGUACCUAACCAGAAAGCCACGGCUAACUACGUGCCAGCAGCCGCGGUAAUACGUAGGUGGCAAGCGUUGUCCGGAAUUAUUGGGCGUAAAGGGCUCGCAGGCGGUUUCUUAAGUCUGAUGUGAAAGCCCCCGGCUCAACCGGGGAGGGUCAUUGGAAACUGGGGAACUUGAGUGCAGAAGAGGAGAGUGGAAUUCCACGUGUAGCGGUGAAAUGCGUAGAGAUGUGGAGGAACACCAGUGGCGAAGGCGACUCUCUGGUCUGUAACUGACGCUGAGGAGCGAAAGCGUGGGGAGCGAACAGGAUUAGAUACCCUGGUAGUCCACGCCGUAAAAC
rnacentral:rRNA from 2 species